AGUCAACAGAGCCUUGUGAGCUCUGGGUAGGACACUGCUGUUAACCAGCCAGCCCUGAUGCUCCCAAAGACAUUGUCUUCUUGCCAGAACUGGUAACAUAGCCAAGGAUCUGCAGAACUAAGAUCUCAACAGGCUUGUGGGCCCCUAUUCACCAAAUUCGGGAUCUCACCUCAGAGCUCUGUGAGAAGGGGUCUCUUUAAGAAUUAAAAGCAUCCAUGUGGAGAAGGAGUUCCAAACAAGACACAGAGAGCAGAAAAGAGGAGCCCCUUUGCUCUGAGUCUACUUUAGCACGAGACUUGGUACAUAUUUAAAUAUCCUAAACGAGGUGAAGCAGCUCUGCCAAGAGGGACUGUGAGAGCUGGAGCAUAGAUUCUUCAACAGCUUUGUGAGGACAGGUCUGUCUGUGGACCUAGGUGGGAAUUCAAGUUCCCACAGGUAGAAAACAGUCUGAACCAACAGUUACUGCACCCUCCAUGAACAUCCAAACUACUAUAUUAACACAGGAAUCUCCAGAUUUUACUGAUAUCAAAUAAAGUCUGACAAUGUUUCAA